CCUACGGGAGGCUGCAGUGGGGAAUAUUGCACAAUGGGGGAAACCCUGAUGCAGCGACGCCGCGUGUGGGAAGACGGUCCUCUGGAUUGUAAACCACUGUCCCCAGGGACGAAGAUGACGGUACCUUGGGAGGAAGCUCCGGCUAACUACGUGCCAGCAGCCGCGGUAAUACGUAGGGAGCGAGCGUUGUCCGGAAUUACUGGGUGUAAAGGGAGCGUAGGCGGGGAUGCAAGUUGGGUGUCAAAACUACCGGCUCAACUGGGAGUCGCACUCAAAACUGCAGCUCUUGAGUGAAGUAGAGGCAGGCGGAAUUCCUGGUGUAGCGGUGAAAUGCGUAGAUAUUAGGAGGAACACCAGUGGCGAAGGCGGCCUGCUGGGCUUAUACUGACGCUGAGGCUCGAAAGUGUGGGGAGCAAACAGGAUUAGAUACCCGGGUAGUC
rnacentral:rRNA from 1 species